rnacentral:rRNA from 1 species
UAAACUGGGAUUAGAUACCCCACUAUGCUUAGCCCUAAACUAUAAUAAUUAAACAACAAAAUUAUUUGCCUGAGAACUACUGGCCAUGGCUUAAAACUCAAAGGACUUGGCGGUACUUUACAUCCAUCUAGAGGAGCCUGUUCUAUAAUCGAUAAACCCCGUUAUACCUUACCAUUCCUUGCUAAUUCAGCCUAUAUACCGCCAUCUUCAGCAAACCUUAAAAAAGUAUAACAGUAAGCAAGAGAAUCACCAUAAAAACGUUAGGUCAAGGUGUAGCCUAUGGAAUGGGAAGUAAUGGGCUACAUUUUCUAAAUAAGAACAUUACGAAACCCUUUAUGAAACCUAAAGGACAAAGGAGGAUUUAGUAGUAAAUUAAGAAUAGAGUGCUUAAUUGAAUAGCGCAAUGAAGUACGUACACACCGCCCGUCACCCUCCUCAAAUUAAAUUGACACAAUACACAUACAUAAUACAAUUGACAAGUUUAUUAGAGGAGACAAGUCGUAACAAGGUAAGCAUACUGGAAAGUGA